rnacentral:tRNA from 1 species
AUCUCAAUAGUGCAAUCGGUAACAUAACAAACCGGAAAUCUGUAGAUGCUGGUUGAAAUCCUGCCUGAGGCG